GGAUUGAACAAAUAAGAUUCUACUCUUCUCUCAAAAACCUAAACGUAAUCUUCAUCUUCCAUUUCUAAUAUUCUACCUGAUCUGAACACACAAGAGGCGCCUCCAUCUACAAAGUCGAAACUGAGCUCAUUCUCCUCCGCCAUAGCUAUGAGGCCGAGACACCAAACGGGCUCCGAUCGAGACGCCGCCCAGGGUCGAGACACCGAUCCUUCUCUUUCUCUCUUCACUGCACCUGCACGACGCUGCCGACGCCUUCUUCUUUCUCCCUCAUAGAUCGACGCACCGAGUGAGACAGCUCCCGAGACGGCGCCCAGCUCUGUCCCUCUCUCUCUCUCUCUCUCUCUUCACUUCACCUGCACGAAGCCUCCUCUCUCCCUCUCGGAUCGAGACGCCGCCCAGGACUGCUCUAUCCUUCUCUCUUUCUCUCUUCACUUCAUCUGCCAACUCGAAGCUAGAGAAUAGGAGAUCGUUGUUCUUCAGGUCUGCCACUCGUUUUAGCUUCAUGGGUUCCUUAGUUGAUUGAUAAAUUUGAUCACUUUUUGUGCUUAUUUGGUUUGUAGCUAAACUGGGAUUUGAGUUUUUGUUGAGUUCAUUGCUUUUUGUAUAUUGUAAAAAAGGCUGCUUGUCGAGCUAAAAAAUCAAAGAUGGCUGCUGGUAUUUGACAGCCAUCUUUGAUUUAUUGCCUACUGCAUUAAUUUUUGCUUGCUUGCUGCAUAUUGCUAUUUUAUUUGCUACCUGCAGUUUCUGAAAUGAAUGAGUAAAGUUGAUUAUGUUGAGUUGCAAUUAUUGGUAUUUGUUUAUAUAUUAAGAGAUCUGCAGUUUCUGGUAUUUUUGUAUAUUGACUUGUUGAUAAUCUUGAAUAUUGGUAUUGAAGUAGCACUUAGGAGUUAGGACAGUGAGAGUCUCAGGAGUUUGAAUCUCAUCAACCCAAACUUUUGCCUCCAACAAUCAUUACGUGCAGUCCCCAUCGCUCGCUACCUCACACCCACCAUCUACCACCCCCGCCAUCAGUCUUAGCAUCCUCAGCAGCUCAAUCAGGCAUUGCAUCUUCUCGUAAAGUAUCCUGUACUAGUGACAUCUAAAUUCAGGAGGUAUGGUUUUAGCAAAGAAGUUGUUGAGUGCCCAGGGAAAACUGUGGAAGCCAAUUGAUGAUGGCUGCAUUGCUGCUGGAUAGGAGACUGAAAAAAAUGGCUUGCUAAAUUGCUGCAUCUGAAUUAGGACUUUAGGACUUUAUAUUUCAUUGGAUAUUUGUAUUUGAAUUUGGACACUUUGAAUUCGAAUUUGCAGCUUGAACUUUGUAUCUUGAUAUUGUGUUUUGAUUCAAAUCUUCAACAGCUUGAAAUUUGCAACUAUA